UACGAAGGAUGCAAGCGUUAUCCGGAUUUAUUGGGUUUAAAGGGAGCGUAGGCGGUCUUAUAAGUCAGUGGUGAAAUCUUGUCGCUUAACGACAAACGUGCCAUUGAUACUGUAGGACUUGAGUACAGAUGCCGUUGGCGGAAUGUGUCAUGUAGCGGUGAAAUGCAUAGAUAUGACACAGAACACCGAUUGCGAAGGCAGCUGACGAAACUGUAACUGACGCUGAGGCUCGAAAGCGUGGGGAUCAAACAG
rnacentral:rRNA from 1 species